UACGUAGGGGGCAAGCGUUGUCCGGAUUUAUUGGGCGUAAAGAGCGUGUAGGCGGCCAGGUAGGUCUGCUGUGAAAACUCGAGGCUUAACCUCGAGCUGUCGGCGGAAACCAUCUGGCUAGAGUCCGGAAGAGGAGAAUGGAAUUCCCGGUGUAGCGGUGAAAUGCGCAGAUAUCGUUUGGAACGCCAAUGGUGAAAACAGGUUGCUGGGAGUGUGCUGACGCUGAGACACGAAAGCCAGGGGAGCAAACGGG
rnacentral:rRNA from 1 species